rnacentral:snoRNA from 1 species
UAUUUUUAACAUGAUGAUUUCAUAGUUCAACUGAUCGACUCGUGAUGUACACACUAAGCAAUGUCUUUCGCUCCUAUCUGAUACCAUUU